GCCCAGAGCCUGACACGGGGCUGGAUUUCAGGACCCUGAAUCACCAUCUGAGCUGAAAGUAAGAGUUGGGCGCUUAACCAGCUAUGCCACCCAGGCGC